ensembl:lncRNA
GGGUAACACCUUCUACCCAACUCUAAAUCAGGUUUGUGACAGGUUGGAGCCAGGCUGUGGAGACCAUGGUCCUUCUCUUUUGCUUUGCUGCCCUGCCCAUCUCCCCAUUCACGAUUGCACUGUCUGGUCAGCAGGGUCAUGAUGCAAACGUUCUCACAGCCAUUUCCCAGCAACAGGCUGGCAGGACCACCCCAAUGUUUCCAGUAAAGUCACUAACCAUUCUCUAGCUCUCCCAGCAGGGAGUCAGGCUUGAGUCCAGUUAGAAUUACUUUUCUCAAGUGUGGGUAAGGCACCAGACCUUUUGGUCUCCCAAUUUCAGAGAACAUAUUCAAAAAUUCUUAGCAUAAUCACCUGGAGGAAGCCCUCUAAGUAGGCUUCGGCUGAGAAGGCAGCAGCCUUCCCAUCCUGGAAGAGGCAAUAGUCAUCUCCGCCCAAAAUCUCUUUACCAAUCUCUUGAUGAAAACUUAAACGUGAGCAUUCUAUUAGAGGAGCACAUGAGACACUGGAUACACGUUCUAGAACAGAUAUUCCUAAUUCAGGAGCUGAUUGCAGAAAAAAGAAUGCCCAUUUCUGAACUCAGCUGAGAGCAAUCAGUGCUAAUCCACCACGUGUACCAGCUUCCCGCGGAUGCCGAAGUGGUCCCAGAAUCCUCUGUCCGCAGGCGCCAUCAGGGUUUCUCUCCCGAACUCCGUGGGUCUCCGCUCCUCGUCACGCUUCUCGCCCUCACAGGGAGACAAGGAGACAAAUAAAGAAAAGUUCCUCAGGCAUUGUCUAGCUUUGCAUCAAGUCAAUUUCCAGGAGGGCUGAAUCUUAAAUUUGAAGAUGCUGAGCACCAGAGGAAUUAAGAAUACAGUCGUCUUGUAUCCAGUGUCAUGGAUAGCUACUUAAAAUCUCCUGGACAGAGUUUGCAGAUAUAUAUUUUGAAAAUCUUACUCUCAGUAUUUAUUUCAACUCUUUCGGUAAAUUUUAGAGUUUAAAAAAAUAGAAGAAGAAGGAGAAGAAAACGGUGGCUCUCACUGCUGGAGCGAGGCGGAAGGAGCACGGGAAGAUGGCGCCGGCCCCCCGGCCUCCUCUAGGAAGGCACCUGUAGGUGCCCACACACCGGAUGCCUGUCCUCAGGCCGACGGGGCCAGACCAGCAAAUGACCCUCCUUCAGUCUGGACGCCUCUCCUUUAGCCGCUUGUGUGCUGGACCCUGGAGCAGGAAAUAGAAGCAUUGGUCUGUGUCCAGCUCUGCUGUUCUCUCCUGAGCCUCCACAUUAGAAGAAAGUGGGCCUAUGAAUACAGUAGUAGGCGAUGUGGUCAAUGAUGGCCGAACUCAGAAGCAAGUUCAAAUUGGACCUGCUCAACGGAAUAAAUCUGCUCAAGGCCCAGCAGUGAGUUGAAGGUCCUCUUCUUGGGGAACAAUUCUCUUCUUCAGGACCCGAAGAGAAUGGUGACUGUCCAGACUGUUCUCAAAGCUUGGUGACCUCAGCAUUGGACAGAUGGGGUCUGCGGCUCGUAUACCUGAAGAAAGCCAUUCAAUAUACACUGAGUCCUGAUGGAUUAAACAGUACAGGAUUGCUUUGACGUUUCCCUCCUCAGCUUUACUGAGAUGUAACUGGCAAGUUAAAUAGUAGGAUAUUUAAAGUGUACAACACAAUUCACACGCAGAUUGUGAAAGGAUUCCUUCAUUUAAAUAACACAUCUGUUGAUGGCUUUGUUUUGUAGCCUAACCCACCAGUCCCGGUGCAGUCCACCAUGAUACCCUGACUCUGCUCACUCUGGCCCCUGCCACAUGCUUACCCAGUGCCUGAUCACAUCUGCAGUUCAUCAGGUCACAUGUAGCUGAACUGACUUGCUACAAAGCAUGUGCAAAACAUGUCUACAUCACCCUUUAGGGCUUCAUUUCUUGUUAAUUAGCAAACUUUGGCUUUCAAUGAUGACCAACCAACUUUUUUUUUUUUUUUUAAGAAAGUGUUCAUCUUAUGUAUACAAGACUUACAAGAACAGCCUGGUAUGCUGUUGGCUUUGUCCUGGCAACUAAAAUCAGUCCCCAGCACUCAUCAGGGUAUCUUGCUCUCAACUUUCACUACUGUAUGUAAUCCACUUCUAUGUUUUAUGUGGAGAGAUUUUUGUAUGUGCUGGGGUCAUGAUGAAUCCAGAACCAUGGUUUGAAACAUGUUCUAUUAACUCCACAGUCUGUAUUUUCUGCUUUGACAAGUUGCACCAUACCUUCAAAUGUUGCUCUCCACAAAAAGGAAUCAUAGUCUUCAUUUUAACCUUUUGUGUGUGACUAGAUCCCCCUGUUACUUGAAUCAUGUUGCAACUCAAGUUUUCCUCUCUCAUGUCUUUUAACUUCCUUUGCUUUUAACAAGGUUCCGACAGCUGGGUAGUAUUUCUACAGUGGUCUCAUUAGUAUCUGGUUCAGAGCUGGGAUAAUUU